GACGAACGCUGGCGGCGUGCUUAACACAUGCAAGUCGAACGGAAAGGCCCUGCUUUUGUGGGGUGCUCGAGUGGCGAACGGGUGAGUAACACGUGAGUAACCUGCCCUUGACUUUGGGAUAACUUCAGGAAACUGGGGCUAUUACCGGAUAGGAGCUCUUGCUGCAUGGGGGGGGUUGGAAAGUUUCGGCGGUUGGGGAUGGACUCGCGGCUUAUCAGCUGGUUGGUGGGGUAGGGGCUUACCAAGGCUUUGACGGGUAGCCGGCCUGAGAGGGUGACCGGCCACAUUGGGACUGAGAUACGGCCCAGACUCCUACGGGAGGCAGCAGUGGGGAAUAUUGCACAAUGGGCGGAAGCCUGAUGCAGCAACGCCGCGUGCGGGAUGACGGCCUUCGGGUUGUAAACCGCUUUCGCCUGUGACGAAGCGUGAGUGACGGUAAUGGGUAAAGAAGCACCGGCUAACUACGUG
rnacentral:rRNA from 1 species